UACGUAGGGUGCGAGCGUUAAUCGGAAUUACUGGGCGUAAAGCGUGCGCAGGCGGUUUUGUAAGCCAGAUGUUAAAGCCCCGGGCUCAACCUGGGAAUGGCAUUUGGGACUGCAAGGCUGGAGUUUGGCAGAGGAGACUGGAAUUCCUGGUGUAGCAGUGAAAUGCGUAGAUAUCAGGAGGAAUACCGAUGGCGAAGGCAGGUCUCUGGGCUAUAACUGACGCUCAUGCACGAAAGCGUGGGGAGCAAACAGG
rnacentral:rRNA from 1 species